UAUAACGCAUUUAUGUCAAAGUCAACAUAUAUUUAUUCAUACAGAUAACUUCAGAAUGUUACAAAAUAUUAUUUUAAGAGUAUAAACUGCGAAAAUUCGGCCUCACAUGGAGUAGUGUUCUCACCUCUGGGCGGAAGCUCCCCAUUACCAGUCUUCCACUUGACCGUAUUCAACGAAAAGCUGUUUGAAUCGGACAUCCAGGGACAAGAAAAAAAGGCGCGUAACCGAAAAAUGGGACGGUAAUUUUUUUUCUAACGCCGAUAAAGAAGUUUCAUUUCAAUAAAGAAGUUCCUAGUUACCCUGUCAGGAUGAAUUUAAAGGAAGAUUCUUCGAAAAAGGCACACAGACAGAAAUAAACAGAGUUAUAUAUA